rnacentral:misc_RNA from 1 species
CAGAAAGAACUUUCACCAUAUUGUGUUCUUUUCUGUGUUACUCUUGAGGGAAAGCUUGUUAUGUUCUAUGUUGCAAGUGCCAAAGGACUUACCAUUCCACCUGAGGAUGAUUUUGACCUUAAUGAUGAAGAAGAGGAUUCUUUGUCAGAUGUACCUGCAGGAUGUGGGCAGGCUAAACUUCCUUCUGGACUAGGAAAACAAACAUUGGAACAGGUAGAAAUAGGUCUUCAACUGCAGGAUGGGAGCAAAUGGGAGUCAAAUGUUGGUACAGUUAGUGAAAUUCCUAC